ACCUCUUGAAGACCCUCUUUGAACACUUAAGCUUCUCCUUCCAAGAGAUCAACUCCUCCCCUCCUUGCUAGACCAAGUCAGCUCCACUCCCUUGCACACUUUGAAACUUCGAUCUCUCGCCAAGAGUCUCUCACUCUCCCCAGAACUUCCAAAUCUGAUUUGGAAUUAAAGAAAAUGCCCCAGGCAAGUAAGGACCCAAUCAUAUUACUGCGUUACUGCUCAAGCUGGGAUUCCAGAAGUGUUCUGUUGAAUUUGGUGUAUAUGUGAGUACUGCUAGGCUGCAGAAUAAGCUGCUGAUUUGUCUAUAUGUAGAUGACCUCCUUGUGACUGGGGAUUUUGAAGAAGAAAUUGAAGAGUUCAAGAAGAGAAUGAAAGAUGAGUAUGAUAUGACCGAUUUAGGCAAGCUGAACUACUUUCUCGGGUUGGAGUUUAUUGAAACAGCGAGUGGGGAGUACUUCUACACCAAAGAAGGUAUAUUAAUGAAGUUUUGAAACGCUUUAACAUGAAAGACUGCAACAGUGCACCAAUUCCUGUCAUUGCAAAUUUGAAGCUGACAGAACAACUUGAUGAAAACCGUGUGGAUGCCUCAUUGUACAAGCAGAUUGUAGGGUGAUAGGUUUCUGGUCAAGAAACCGUAUCUUCCACUCACUCAACACACUAACAGAGUAAAGAAAACUGAUGAAUAACCUCGGGUUUAUUGCUCAACAAGAAAGAAUACAAGAAAGGGAACAACAAGGGAGCCUAAUCUCCCUCCAACAAGACUCAAAGUCUGUUCAGAACAUACAAACUGUCAAAAAGUCCCCCUCCAAUACUCAACUCACCUAUUUAUACAAACUAACAUUCCCGCCACUCCUAACUGUUAACACAGUUAGGCCAACUAACCAACUAACUGCCUCUAACUGUUUAAUCACAGUUAUCUAACCUCUCCUCUUCCUUACAUACACCUUCAACUUCCUAUCAUAGGGUCUGAGGUAUAUCUGCAACAGCAGGCCAGAUAUAAGCUAUGGUGUUGGACUGUUGAGCAGGUUUAUGAAUGAACCUAGGCUAUCACACAUGACAGCUGCCAAACAUGUCUUGAGGUACUUGAAGGGAACAGCUCAUUUUGGCCUUUUGUUUUCGAAAAUGUCAAGCAGCGUGGAGGGCACCUUGGAGGUUUGGAGUGACUCUGACUGGUGUAAAGAUAAGGUUGAUAGAAGAAGUACUUUUGGCUAUUUCAUUAAGUACACGGGAGCACCUAUUUCCUGGUGUUCGAAAAAACAAAGUGUGGUGGCACUCUCAUCUUUUGAAGCAGAAUGCAUAGCUUCUGCGGAGACAGAUUGUCAGUGCGUAUGGCUGGAGGAACUUCUUGGUGAUCUAAGGCUUGAGUGUAGAAAGCCAAUACAACUCUUGGUAGACAACAAAUCUGCCAUUAGCUUGUCAAAAAACCCAGUGUUUCACGGAAGAAGCAAACACAUUGAGACAAAAUUAAGUCAUUGUUCAACUGAGAAUCAAGUAGCUGAUGUUUUUACAAAGGCUUUGAGGCAGAACAAGUUUGAAAGAUUGAGAGAGUUACUGAAUGUUAUACCUAUAGAUAGUUUGGUUUAAGGGGGUGUGUUGUUGUAAACCCAAACUACCAUAACUGUCAUUCUGACAGUUAGAUCAUUUACUUACUCUGCUACAUACAUUUCUGUAUUUCAUUCAUUCUUUGGUUAAUGAGAAAAAGUCUCAGUUUCUCUACCUCUCUUACUCUCUGCAUAAUUCCCUCCUCUGCAUAACUUUCACUUAGCACGUUGGCUAACAAAAUACACUCCAAAAACAUUGAUGUUGCAGCUGAAAUCACAGUUGCAUACCGCUUUUCAAAACCUUGGGUAGGAGCAUAUAUGAAAAAGAAACACAUUACGUUGAUUGAAAUAUGCGAUCGGAGUGUUAAAGGAUGAUUAACAAAUCAUAACGGGAUCAUAAAUUCUCAAAUACUUACUGUUGGUGCCAAAUUGCCCAGGCUUCCUGUAGAAGAGUGAAAAAACAGAAUUGAAGGUACGGUUAUGCCUCCAGAUAAUGACCCUUGUAUGCUACUAAUAACUCCUCUGCAUUUUCCCUGAACUGUGAUAUAUACUUGUCCAAAAACAUUUCCUCAGACAAGCACAACACAUGAAUAUAACUGGGGACUUUCUUGCAGAGAUUUUUUGAUUUCAACAGCUGGAAGACUUUAUAUCGAGGAAGCACGCGAUCCUCCAUGCUGUACAUUAAAAUAUGAGGCCGGUGAAUAAGGACUGACUUAGGCAACAUAACUGUGUGCAAGAAGAAUUUCAUUCCAAAUUUCAACUUCAUCUCCGAUGUUCUGAACAAAGUCGGGGUUCUCUUCAACAUUUGUAGGCCCUCAUCGUUGGAAAACCCAAAGCUAUUAAUUAGUUUCAGCUUUCUCUCAAAUGUUUUAUCGCUCAAACAACUUAAUGUAUGAAUUGCAUGGACAAGCAUUCUUGAAUUUUCACGGAAACCCAAGUCUACAGCCCGAGAAACACGGUUUUGAAUAGUGGACUGCUGUGCAAUGAAAAGCCUUGGUUGAAGUUUGAGUAGCAAUGCAAGAUGAGUCCCAAGAAUGCCACACCUCUCCAAGAAGACGGCAUUAUCCAUAAACCUUUUGUACUUUGGGAGUAUCCAGCCACAUCUGUGCAACACAAAAAUAAAAUCUUUCUGGUCGCACAGAAUUUUCCUAAUAGCUUCAACUGAGGGGACCAAUGUUUUCUUCAAGCUAUGAGUCAAAAUGGAGGGAUGCUUUGAAAUGAAGCUGCAUAACUCGGGACCCUGGAAUCCAGACAUCUGAAAGAACUCAAUUUUGGAUCUUAAGAUUUUGUCAACGUCUGUAAACAGUAUCUGGGGUCUUUGACGAAUCAAGGAGAGAAUCUGGCUUUGCGAAAAGCCUAUUUGUUUGAAGAAAGUGAGCACUGAUAAGGGGUUUUGAGGGAAUUUGCCCCGUGAAACACGUUUUGAGAUAUAAAGGGAUUGGGUUUUGGAGAACUGGAAGUUGGAAUUUAGGUAAUCAACCAUUGAAGUGGUUUCGUUGAAGUGUAGGAAACGGCAUUUAGUUGAGAAAGAGAGGAAGGAUGUCAGAGACUGAGAAGAAGAGAAUUGAUUGAAAAGUGAAAAUAAAAGAGCAGGGUGUGACUUUAGAGAUUGCAUUAGUUUAGAGAACGAGAAUGAAUGAAUGAAUGUUUUAUUUGGCGUCAACGAACAAACAAACUAUUUCUUAGGUUGUCUAUUUCGAAUUUCCAGCCACCAAAACGUUGUCUGUCUCCUAAAUUACCAAGUUUUCCAAGUUUAUGCGAGGACGAGAGCCUUGUUUGAUUGAGAGGAGACGAAGGAACAAGCAACAAAACCCUAAGUUCAGCUCUGCACCCAAAGAACCGUCAGUCAUGGAUGAGUGGUGCAUUUCUUUCUCUCUAUCAACCCACCCUAGCGACAAAUGCUCAACCUCAUGUUUAUCAAACCUUGCCCACUUCAGUCUAGGGUUUUCCAAAAUGAAGCGAAAAGAAAACGAAAAAUACACAAAAGAAGACAAAAGAAGAAAGGAGGAAGAAGCACCGCCCACCGUCCGAUCACCCGAACCUUCCGAUUAAGUCGCACCGCCCACCGUCCGAUCACCUGAACCUUCCGAUUAAGUCGCACCGCCCAAUUUCUCGCGUUCUCUUUGGUGCCACCCUUGCCCUACCACGAAGCCAUCCUUCGUGUAUUUGGUGAGAUGAAUGUCUACCCCUGUUGCCUGCCUUGACAGACUGUAAGAAUACGUUUCCACAUCUUCACAAUAUUUUAAGAAAUUAUUAAUUAUAAUUUUUAUUUUAUGAUUUUUAUUUUUCAAUGUAGCGCCUGUCUGUAGCAGCAUUUUAAACGCAUAUUUAUGUGUAUAUUUUCAUGUCAAACCAACAAAAACUGAAAAAAGAAAAAGGUACCUAGUAAAUAAUUAUUUGAUAUAUUUUUUUUUAAUAAUAAUAG
rnacentral:lncRNA from 1 species